rnacentral:rRNA from 1 species
GACGUGACUUCAGAGUUUGAUCCUGGCUCAGGACGAACGCUGGCGGCGUGCCUAACACAUGCAAGUCGAACGGAGUCAAGAAGCUUGCUUUUUGACUUAGUGGCGGACGGGUGAGUAACGCGUGAGUAACCUGCCUCUGAGAGGGGAAUAACGUUCUGAAAAGAACGCUAAUACCGCAUAACGUAUCGAAGCCGCAUGACUUUGAUACCAAAGAUUUUAUCGCUCGGAGAUGGACUCGCGUCCGAUUAGUUAGUUGGUGAGGUAACGGCCCACCAAGACCGCGAUCGGUAGCCGGACUGAGAGGUUGAUCGGCCACAUUGGGACUGAGACACGGCCCAG